AGUCUACUCCUACACUUCACUCAGGAGUCGAAUGCUUCAUCUCAGGCUGCAAUUCUGAAAGUUGAAGUAAUUCACUCUGCUCCUUCACCCCGACCUAAUCAUCUUAUUACCAUCUGAUAGCAGAUGUCUCCUUGGGAGGGGCUUUUCAGGUGGCAUCAUCUGGGAAGUUCACUGCUGCUCAGGCUGGAGCAGGGAAGACUUGGUUCUGUUUUGAAUCACGACGAGCUGUGGGAAUUGGCUUCUCUGCACAGAAGACAUGGAAAGAACCUUCUCUGUCCAUGGGCGGCUUCACUCGCAGCUCCUCAGGAGGGAACAGACCUGAGGAAAACUGGACAUCAAGGACAAGUACUGAACUCAGGAGCCUGACAGCAACUCUGUAAUGAGUUCUAGUUUGGACAACACUCAGGAAGUUUUUCUCGGUCCCCAAGUGCUAGCCUGCCUAUUGCAUUUUGUCCCAUUUCCUCUGGGUCUUUCCUCCGAGGAGAUGAGCAUCAUACUAAUAGCCAGAUAAUUGGAAAUACAGCCAACUUUCAAUUGAUUGUAAGUAGAUUAUGCUGCAGUUUAUCUCUGGCAAAUCUUGCUUUUCUCCCUUAGUUAACAUCUCUGUUGCUUACUUAAUUUCUUUAUUGCUUUUAUAACCAUUACCAUCUGCUACUGAAAUUGGAGUUCAACAGGAGCGAGAAGAGUGAAACUUUUAAAAUGGAAAUAAUUAUUUUGAGGCUGGUGAGGCUGGGGAAGGUAGCGAUCUCCAAGGAAGGGCUAGAUCUUCUCAGAUGGACCACAGGAUGCCCGGAGCCGGUCGACUUUGGCGGUGAUCUAAUCAUCUUCCACCUGGCUCAUUGCUGAGGAAGGACGUCAAGGUCUUGAUCAGGUAAGAGACUUGUCAAA
rnacentral:lncRNA from 1 species